AAUUUAUACCCUUAAUAUGUUAUCCUCCAGAGCACAGGAAAUUUAUUCCAUGGUUAUAAGGUGCCGCAUACAUAAUUUUAUUAAGUGAUAACUUAGAGAUACAAAGCAUUUAAUACCUUUCUCAAACAAUUUACGAUUUACCAAUUCUUGGGAGAUGUAUUAUUAAUAGAUUUGUCACACUCAGAAGAUCAGGAGAAAAAGUUGGGUGAAGAGACUUGAAGGAUAAAAGAAGUACAGGACUAAAAUCGGAGAUGUUAUUGGCAUAUGGGUUCGCAUCCCUUCACUGAACUCAAAGGACACUCCAUGCUCCUGGAGAGUUAUUUGUAACUCUGGAUGGUCAGAUAAUUGCCUGUUAAAUAGUGAAUGAAAAUUGUCAGGGGGUGACUGAAAAUGCAAGUCAUUUACAUUCCUCGGGAGAAUUUGCAAAGUAGUUCUACAGCUCAAAGUAGUUUAAAGGAAAGUGGGUUGAAGGGUCAUUGAAGAGACAUGCAACUGAUAAAGGUUGAUUGGAAUUUCCUGUCAUAUUAGCCAGUUAAUGAUGUAUUUAAAUUAUCCUGUAGGCUCUUUCAUUAUACAUUAAUGUUCAGAAUUUAACUCUUUUUUAGUUUAAAAGUUCUAGAUGGAUUUUUCAAAUUCAGAGAUGAAUAAUUCAAAUACAGGAGGGAGACUGCUGCUCAGACCCACAUACAAGAUAAAAAGGGUAAAAUACCAUAAACUGAGGAAGCCAGCAAGCAUCCUAUAUAUAAUUUUUAAAAAACACAUCCUGUCGCCGGCCCGGUGGCCAAGUGGUUAAAUUUGCGUGCUCUGCUUUGGCAGCCCAGGGUUUCACCGGUUCAGAUCCUGGGCGUGGACCUAGCACUGCUCAUCAAGCCGUGCUGAGGCGGCGUCCCAUGUAGCAGUUCCAGAAGGACCUUAACUAGAAUAUACAGCUACCUACUGGGGGGCUUUGGAGAGAAGAAGAAGAAGAAGAAAAAAAAAGAAGAUUGGCAACAGAUGUUAGCUCAGGUGCCAAUCUUCAAGAAAAAAAUCACAUCCUAGUAGACUGUGUCCUACAUUGGCACCAACUACUCAGCUUAUAAUGAGCCACAACAGAUAAUACCUCUAACAAAUUAUGUUUGUGACUGCCGACUUUUCCAAGAUGCUGAUUACUUGCUUCCUCACAGGUUUUAUCUUCUUAGGGAUCUUCUUUCCUUCCUUUGGGUAACUUAGAAGAGAUAGAAAGCUCUGUGCCUUUGGAAGUAGAGCCUGUGGUCUCUGGACCGGCGGCAUCAGUAUCACCCGGGCACUUGUUUGAACUGUCAGUCCUCAGACCCCGCCGCAGACCUGCCCAAUCAGAAACCUCGGGGGUGGGCCACGGCAAUCUGUGUUAACA
rnacentral:lncRNA from 1 species